ACCUUAGAACAGCAAAUCUUAAAGCACUAUGUAAAUGUUAAAUAUUCACUGCAACUUUUGUUAACACUGACUUUCACUUACUGUAAGAAGCUCACAUUUUGGAAUAUGAUUUCACUUUUUUCAGGACAUUCUGUGCUCAGAAUGAUUUUUAACUGUUACAGUUGGCUUAAUUUUUCCUUUUGCUUAGGAGAGAGUACAUGCUCCUUGGUUUGGGGAGAGAAAAACCAUUUAUUCCUGUAGGAUAAUUUUUCCUCUGUUCAUCAGCCUUAGGGAGCCUUCUGGCUAGGCAGAAGUGGUUUCAGAGCUAGAAGAGAUCCUGAAGUUCACCUUGUUUGUCUAACUUCCAUAUUUUACAGGUGAGCAAACUGGGCCUCCAAAAAGUCAAGUGACUUGCCCACUAUCGCAGAGGUACCUAAGGCAGGAUUUGAAUCCAGAUCUUUUGGCUACACAAUCAGUAUUCUUUUUUGUACUGUAGGGACUAGAAGGCAACUUUAUAUGAUUAAAAGAACACAAGAUUGGAGAGUCAAAAGAUCGAAUCCAACCCCAGCUUUGAUACUUAGUGUAAUCAUGGCCUGCUCAUUUAAGCACCAUGAAAAUGUCUUCCUUUCAUGCAUACUAGGACCUUGUCACAGAUGAGGAGAUAGGAGAGACCUUAGUGAUUAUGUAGUUCAUUCUCUCAUUUCACAAAUAACAAAGUGGAGGCCUGCAGAGAGAUAGUAACUUAGAUGGAAGAAGGUAUAGAACUCUGGAUCUGCAAUCAGGAAGGCUUCAAUUCAGAUCUGGCCUCAGAUACUUCCUAGCUGUGUGAUCCUGGGGAAAGUCUCUUAAUUAACCUCUUGGGGAUAAUAGCACCUACCUCCUAGAGUUGUUUUGAGGAUCACAGUUAGAUAAUUUAGUGUUUAUAUUUCUUGAUCUCAUUGAAGUGAUUACUUCUGUACAUGGUAUAUAUCACUUUUAUUUUUAUCCUGAUGCUUGUGUUGUUUUCCUGUAAAUACUCAAAGGGAAGCCUCUUAUGUGCUUUCUUCUGGUUUUAUUUCAUUUCAAUACUUAACUGGUCCACCCCUUUUUCUAGUCAUGUAUCUCUCCUUUACUCUCUGGAUAACCCCCACUUUACUCCUUUGGAGACUUUUUUUUUUUUUGGAGGGUGGGGAAUUCCACAUCUUGUAAUUUUGUAGGAUCACCUGGAGAAUCAGUUUCUCAAAGGUAAUCCAGCUUAUUCAGUUCUGGUCCACUUUUUUUUUUUUUUCUUCAUAGAUAAAAUAUCUAAGAAAAACACAUGUUUGAUAGACUACAAUAUUUAUCAUCCAUUUGGUUUUUCCUGAAUGGCUAGUCAGCUAAACUUUUUGGGGUUCUAAUGGAUCUCAUUUGGAUGAUGGUUCUCUUUCAUGGCUCCAUGCCAUUGGCUUAGGAUCUUUCAAAAAAAUGCAGUACCUGAAAGUCCCCCAUCUAAAGGGAAUCCCCUAUCAUCUGAACAUUUUCCAUUUUGGUGGUUAACAGCUAACAAGUAGAAAUUACUUUUAGGAUGAAUUUAUUAAGAACAAAUAGAUAUUUAAAUAGGCUUUUAUUGUAUUUUUUGGAGGGUGGGAGAGCUAUUUUUAUCAUCAGUUUUGGGAGUUCUAAGGAACUUUCUUUUACUAAAAGAAAACUGCACUUUCUAUGUACUUCAUAGUUGUAGAAAAAUAUAUAAGAAUCCUGGUAGUGACUUACUCAGUUCAUGCUGACUCAAAAGUGAGUCCUCUAUUACAUAUUAAUUAAGUACACUAGACCUUAUAUGUAAGAUAGUCAUAUGGAGCAAUAGUUGGUAUUUUGAAAAUAGAUCUAUAGUACUUUGUGAUGCAUGAACAUUGAUAUCCUCAGGACAGCUUUGCUAUCCACCUAGUCUCCCUUCCUUAUGAACAGUGAUUUCCUUUUUUUUUUUUUUAACCUACAUAAAUAAUGCAUCAUAGCAUUCCACCACAAUGCUUGAACUGAAGAUAAAGGAAGAGGCACAAUCAUUUCCAAAAUUGGGAUUUGGCAAUAUAGUAUAAUCUCAGAUGUGCUCAUGCUUCAUGUAAUAUAAAUUUAAUUUUCUUUCAUCACAGGAGAGGGGAAAGCAUCUGGGGCAUCAUAAAAUAUUUAAUCUAGGAGAAAAACAAGUCUAGCAUGCAUGAAAUAACAAUUGUAGUUUGGUUUUUCAUGUAGACUUUGUCAGGGCAGAACAAGGGACUCUUCUGUUUAUACUCAACCUCAUUUUGGGUUGAACAAUUUACUUGCCUUCAAACAUUCUUGAAGGAGUUCGACUGAUUCAUUUUCAAUUGUUUUGACUUAUAAAUUACUCUAAGAGUGUCACCAUUCUUUCAAAAUUCUUUUUCAGCAAAUCCAGUAAAAGUUGUCAUAGUGCCAAUAUCCAGGACGGAUUAAGCCAAUAACAACACAGACACUGUUUGUGUAUGUCAGGAUAUCAAAGAAUUGUGAUUUUGUCAUUGUGGAUCCUGCCUCUGUGAAACAUAGCAUUAUCACCCUUUCUUUAGUAGGUUCAACCCUCUAUUCACUCUUUUGCUUAAACUGCCUUGGGAAAAGGAGGUAUCAAAAGAAAUGAGACUGAACAAAUGAAUGGUGUUAAUACCUGCUGCAUGUAUGAAGACAGAAGAAAAAGCAGGUCUGGGGAAAAUAAAUUUAGUUUGGACAAGACUGAAUUGAAGCUGAUGGACUGCAUGCCCAAAAGGCAGCUGAAGAGAAUGAAAAAAGAUCUUCUGCUGACAGGAUGGGAAGAGGAGAGGAAGGAAGAACACCAAAAAACAUCAUUGAAGCCAUGAUUCGCCUCUUCACUCAUAUACCUUGGCUAAGAGUUCCUUAUGUAUGUAUUUCUCUACUUGUAUUCCCUAAAAAAGACUAAAUCUCCUUUUUGCCAGUCUGUAUAUUUGUAGAAGAGUAUGAUGUAGGUCUAUAGCAAGUCAUUGCUUACUAUGACAGACAUUUCAUUAAAUUCUUUUCCUUUGAA